UAGCUGAUUUGUAGAGAAUAGAUCAGCCACCUUUGGGUACGUGAGACACGGCCCGAAACCUACCUACCGGGAGGGCGAGCAGUGAGGAAUAUUGGACAAUGGGGGAAACCCUGAUCCAGCAAUGCCAUGUGUGUGAAGAAGGCCUUAGGGUUGUAAAGCACUUUAGUUGGGGAAGAAAGCUUUAAGGUUAAUAACCUUGAGGAAGGACGUUACCCAAAGAAUAAGCACCGGCUAACUCCGUGC
rnacentral:rRNA from 1 species